CCUACGGGAGGCAGCAGUGAGGAAUAUUGGUCAAUGGGCGCGAGCCUGACCCAGCCAAGUAGCGUGAAGGAUGACUGCCCUACGGGUUGUAAACUUCUUUUAUAAAGGCAUAAAGUGACGGUAUCUGUGGCAUAAGCCACGGCUAACUACGUGCCAGCAGCCGCGGUAAUACGUAGGUGGCAAGCGUUAUCCGGAUUUACUGGGUGUAAAGGGCGUGUAGGCGGGGAAGCAAGUCAGAUGUGAAAACCACGGGCUCAACCUGUGGCCUGCAUUUGAAACUGUUUUUUUUGAGUACUGGAGAGGCAGACGGAAUUCCUAGUGUAGCGGUGAAAUGCGUAGAUAUUAGGAGGAACACCAGUGGCGAAGGCGGUCUGCUGGACAGCAACUGACGCUGAGGCGCGAAAGCGUGGGGAGCAAACAGGAUUAGAUACCCGGGUAGUC
rnacentral:rRNA from 1 species